CACAUACACACAGAGACCCAUACAUACAGACACAUGUAGAGACACACAAACAUACACUCAGACAUAUACACACACACACACACACUCAGGCACACAUACACUCACAGACACACACACAUACACAAAUUAUUAAUAUUAAAUGUCCACUCAGGCUACCUACCUGUAGUGGAUCUGUCCCUGGGUUCCAGUGGGGCUUCAGUGCGGCGGUCGGCAGAG